rfam:Brachypodium distachyon strain Bd21 chromosome 4, whole genome shotgun sequence.
AUAUUACUCCCUCUGUCCAACAAAGGAUGUCUCAACUUUGAAUAAAUUUGAAUGCAUCUAUACAUGACUUAAUGUAUAGAUACAUUUAAAAUUUGACAAACUUGAGACAUCUUUUGUUGGACAUAGGAAUACAUA